UACGUAGGGUGCGAGCGUUAAUCGGAAUUACUGGGCGUAAAGCGUGCGCAGGCGGCUUCUUAAGUCAGAUGUGAAAGCCCCGGGCUUAACCUGGGAACUGCGUUUGAAACUGGGAGACUUGAGUGUGGCAGAGGGGGGUGGAAUUCCGCGUGUAGCAGUGAAAUGCGUAGAUAUGUGGAGGAACACCGAUGGCGAAGGCAGCCCCCUGGGUUAACACUGACGCUCAUGCACGAAAGCGUGGGGAGCAAACAGG
rnacentral:rRNA from 1 species